rnacentral:rRNA from 1 species
AUUGAACGCUGGCGGCAUGCUUUACACAUGCAAGUCGAACGGCAGCGGGUCCUUCGGGAUGCCGGCGAGUGGCGAACGGGUGAGUAAUGCAUCGGAACGUACCCAGUCGUGGGGGAUAACGCAGCGAAAGUUGUGCUAAUACCGCAUACGACCUGAGGGUGAAAGUGGGGGACCGGUAACGGCCUCACGCGAUUGGAGCGGCCGAUGUCUGAUUAGCUAGUUGGUGGGGUAAAGGCCCACCAAGGCGACGAUCAGUAGCGGGUCUGAGAGGAUGAUCCGCCACACUGGGACUGAGACACGGCCCAGACUCCUACGGGAGGCAGCAGUGAGGAAUAUUGGUCAAUGGGCGUAAGCCUGAACCAGCCAUCCCGCGUGAAGGAAGAAGGCGCUAUGCGUCGUAAACUUCUUUUCCAGAGGAAUAAAAUUUUGUACGCGUACAGAACUGAAGGUACUCUGGGAAUAAGCAUCGGCUAACUCCGUGCCAGCAGCCGCGGUAAUAC